GAUGAACGCUAGCUACAGGCUUAACACAUGCAAGUCGAGGGGUAACGAGAGGAAAGCUUGCUUUCCUUGUCGACGACCGGCGCACGGGUGAGUAACGCGUAUCCAACCUGCCCCCAACUAGGGAAUAACCUUGCGAAAGUAAGACUAAUACCCUAUAAUUUCCUCAGAUGUCAUCUGACGAGGAAUAAAGAUUUAUCGGUUGUGGAUGGGGAUGCGUCUGAUUAGCUUGUUGGCGGGGUAACGGCCCACCAAGGCAACGAUCAGUAGGGGUUCUGAGAGGAAGGUCCCCCACAUUGGAACUGAGACACGGUCCAAACUCCUACGGGAGGUAGCAGUGAGGAAUAUUGGUCAAUGGGCGGAAGCCUGAACCAGCCAAGUAGCGUGCAGGAUGACGGCCCUAUGGGUUGUAAACUGCUUUUAUACAGGAAUAAAGCUAGCCACGUGUGGUUAUUUGUAGGUACCGUAUGAAUAAGGACCGGCUAAUUCCGUGCCAGCCGCCGCAGUAA
rnacentral:rRNA from 1 species